GACGAACUUUGGCGGCGUGCUUAACACAUGCAAGUCGAACGGAAAGGCCCUGCUUUUGUGGGGUGCUCGAGUGGCGAACGGGUGAGUAACACGUGAGUAACCUGCCCUUGACUUUGGGAUAACUUCAGGAAACUGGGGCUAAUACCGGAUAGGAGCUCCUGCUGCAUGGUGGGGGUUGGAAAGUUUCGGCGGUUGGGGAUGGACUCGCGGCUUAUCAGCUUGUUGGUGGGGUAGUGGCUUACCAAGGCUUUGACGGGUAGCCGGCCUGAGAGGGUGACCGGCCACAUUGGGACUGAGAUACGGCCCAGACUCCUACGGGAGGCAGCAGUGGGGAAUAUUGCACAAUGGGCGGAAGCCUGAUGCAGCAACGCCGCGUGCGGGAUGACGGCCUUCGGGUUGUAAACCGCUUUCGCCUGUGACGAAGCGUGAGUGACGGUAAUGGGUAAAGAAGCACCGGCUAACUACGUGCCAGCAGCCGCGGUGAUACGUAGGGUGCGAGCGUUGUCCGGAUUUAUUGGGGCGUAAAGGGCUCGUAGGUGGUUGAUCGCGUCGGAAGUGUAAUCUUGGGGCUUAACCCUGAGCGUGCUUUCGAUACGGGUUGACUUGAGGAAGGUAGGGGAGAAUGGAAUUCCUGGUGGAGCGGUGGAAUGCGCAGAUAUCAGGAGGAACACCAGUGGCGAAGGCGGUUCUCUGGGCCUUUCCUGACGCUGAGGAGCGAAAGCGUGGGGAGCGAACAGGCUUAGAUACCCUGGUAGUCCACGCUGUAAACGGUGGGUACUAGGUGUGGGGUCCAUUCCACGGGUUCCGUGCCGUAGCUAACGCUUUAAGUACCCCGCCUGGGGAGUACGGCCGCAAGGCUAAAACUCAAAGGAAUUGACGGGGCCCCGCACAAGCGGCGGAGCAUGCGGAUUAAUUCGAUGCAACGCGUAGAACCUUACCUGGGUUUGACAUGGAUCGGGAGUGCUCAGAGAUGGGUGUGCCUCUUUUGGGGUCGGUUCACAGGUGGUGCAUGCCUGUCGUCAGCUCGUGUCGUGAGAUGUUGGGUUAAGUCCCGCAACGAGCGCAACCCUUGUUCACUGUUGCCAGCACGUUAUGGUGGGGACUCAGUGGAGACCGCCGGGGUCAACUCGGAGGAAGGUGGGGAUGACGUCAAGUCCUCAUGCCCCUUAUGUCCAGGGCUUCACGCAUGCUACAAUGGCUGGUACAGAGAGUGGCGAGCCUGUGAGGGUGAGCGAAUCUCGGAAAGCCGGUCUCAGUUCGGAUUGGGGUCUGCAACUCGACCUCAUGAAGUCGGAGUCGCUAGUAAUCGCAGAUCAGCAACGCUGCGGUGAAUACGUUCCCGGGGCU
rnacentral:rRNA from 1 species